GUGAGUGCUGGGAAUGCUGGGGUGCGAGGCCCCCCCACGGUGUGGGGACUGCCUGUCCCCUUACACCUUGGUGCAGGGGCUGCCAGCCAGGCAUCCCUCUGCAGGUGGCUCACAGGCUGGGGCUGCAGUGAGGAGUGGAGUGCAGCAAAGUCUUUCCCAGCUCAGCAGCGAGGCGAGUCCUGUCCUUGCAUCUCCAGCCUCUGGAUGGGGCCCUUUGGAUGGGGCUUGUGGUUGAGGGUGAUGCCAGAUAGAGGACAAAAGCAGUUCCUGCAUCCCUCCUCCUGUUUGUGAGCGCUGAAGGCAGACGCCUACUGCUCUCCAGGAAAGUGGAGUGGCUGCGAUGGGAAUGGAAAGGAAAUGGGAGCAGUGGUGCUGGGGUGACAGCAGCUCUUGCUUCCUAACAGCAGUUGGGGUCCCGGUGAUGCUUCCUGCUAUGGGGCACCUCCCUGCUCCUGCGAAGCUCUUGGCUGAGGCUGAGGCUUCCCUGCGUGGUGAUGCUUAGCUGGGGGCUGCACACUGGGAGUGCAUGAAAAUUCUAGUGGUUGAGGGGAGACCAGCAGCUCUGUACCUCCUCCAGCUUGCUUUACGGGAUGGAAAGAAGAGCGGAAAAUGUCA